CCUGAGGUGGCUCAGAUGGUAAAGAAUCUGCCUGCAAUGCAGGAGACCCAGGUUCAAUCCCUGGGUCAGGA
rnacentral:tRNA from 1 species